GACAGAGGGUGCAAACGUUGUUCGGAAUUACUGGGCGUAAAGCGCGUGUAGGCGGUCGCAUAAGUCGGAUGUGAAAGCCCUCGGCUCAACCGGGGAAGUGCACUCGAAACUGUGUGACUGGAGUCCCGGAGAGGAUAGUGGAAUUCUCGGUGUAGAGGUGAAAUUCGUAGAUAUCGAGAGGAACACCGGUGGCGAAGGCGGCUAUCUGGACGGUGACUGACGCUGAGACGCGAAAGCGUGGGGAGCAAACAGG
rnacentral:rRNA from 1 species